CCUACGGGAGGCUGCAGUGAGGAAUAUUGGUCAAUGGACGAGAGUCUGAACCAGCCAAGUAGCGUGAAGGAUGACUGCCCUAUGGGUUGUAAACUUCUUUUAUAUGGGAAUAAAAUGUUCCACGUGUGGGAUUUUGUAUGUACCAUAUGAAUAAGGAUCGGCUAACUCCGUGCCAGCAGCCGCGGUAAUACGGAGGAUCCGAGCGUUAUCCGGAUUGAUUGGGUUUAAAGGGAGCGUAGGUGGAUUGUUAAGUCAGUUGUGAAAGUUUGCGGCUCAACCGUAAAAUUGCAGUUGAAACUGGCAGUCUUGAGUACAGUAGAGGUGGGCGGAAGUCGUGGUGUAGCGGUGAAAUGCUUAGAUAUCACGAAGAACUCCGAUUGCGAAGGCAGCUCACUGGACUGCAACUGACACUGAGGCUCGAAAGUGUGGGUAUCAAACAGGAUUAGAGACCCGGGUAGUC
rnacentral:rRNA from 1 species